rnacentral:ncRNA from 2 species
CGCUUGACCUCGGGGUGCGCGCUUUUGUCGUGCUGAGAUGCCAGAUUGGCGAACCCGUUGAACCUGAACCGGCUAGAACCGGCGGAGGGAAGGGUACCGGUUUCAUC